rnacentral:lncRNA from 1 species
GAGAUUCCAAAGGACUUUCUGUUUGCUGUGGUUUAAACAUCUCCUCCAAAACACAUGUUGAAACUCAGUUGCCAUUGUGGGGUGUCAAGAGGUGGGGGCCUUUGGGAGGUGGUUGGGCCAUAAGGACUCUGUCCUCAUGAAUGGAUGAUGUUUUUAUCAUGGGAGUGGGUUAGUUAUUUUGGGAUUUUGGCCCCCUUUUCAUGUCUUGUCUUGUGCCCUCUGACUCUCUCUUGCCCUUCUGCCUUCUGCCCUUUUACUGUGAGAUUACCCUUGCCAGAUGUGGCACCAUGCUCUUGAACUUCCCAGCCUCCAGCACGGUGUUCUGUAAAAAUUACAGUGUUCCAUAAAAAAUCACGGUCCACACUCCUGGAAAGGCAUUCUUUCCAAAUAUAGGCAACAGAAGGUGCACCUGGCCUCUUCUUUCCAUUCUGAAUGAGGUUAGGUGCUGGCUCCAGACUGGGAGAACAACUCAGUUGCACACAGAAGAGUUUGAGGUAAGUAAGAGUUAAUAAUAACACCAACACAAAGAUACCAUGAAGCUGAAGCUGGAGUCAGCACCCUCUUUCUGACUUAAGCUCUUUACCCCUUUGGUUCUCCCUCCAGGACAGCCUAUCCUGGAUGCCCUCUCAAAAAAGGCACUCUGAGAGUAUCAUCAUGUCACUCCUCUACUUUCUCCUUCCUCUCACCCAAGGUGGCAAGGAUCCAGGGCUAUCACAAAAAGACCCUGCUCUCCGGAAUGAUCAUAUCCCACUGUCUUUGCCCACCUCACUUCAUUCCCUGGUCCCAGAAACCUGAGAUCUUCCUGCCUGCUCCAACACAUACACACACACGCACAUGCACACACACCCCAUUCUCACUCACUCACUCUCUCCCAUUUUUAGUAUCUCACCAGGGUCAGGUUCUCUAUGCCUUGUGAUAAGUUCCUGAGAAACUAAUUCAUACUUUUGGAGAAAGAAGACUAUUAAUGGUUAAUUUCAGGGGCUUUGGAGCCAGGAAGACCUGAGUUGUAAUGCCACUUUAGAUACAAAUUUUGUAACUGGGCAAUUGCUUACCAUCUUUGGGCCUCUUUCUUCUCCUUUGAAAAUAGGGAUGUCAAUCCUCUUUCAGAGGGCCGUUGGAAUAAUUAAACGAGAUAUGUGUAUAGCCCUUAGAACAGGCCUGGUUUACAGUAAGCAAUGAAUAAAUGGAAGUGAUUAUUGAUGUUUUUGUACUAAUGAGAAGAGUUUAGAAUAAAUAUUUCCUCCCCUCACCUUCUCUCCCUCUGUCUAAUUCUGUCUUCUCUGCCUGAUAAAAUAACUUGUUUUAUGGAUACAACGCCUUGUACUUUGAUGCCCAGAAUCCCAAAGUAGGGAUUCUGUUAGUAAAAGUCCAGCCUAGUGAGCAGUUUGGUGAACUAGCAAGAGUAAAAAUUGAGCAACAAGAGGUCUAGACACUAAUUCCUGCUCUGCUGCUAACAAGCCAGGCAAUUUGGGGCAAGUCAUUAGCCCCUGAAGGCUAUAAUUUCUUCUAUAAAAAGAAUUGGGAUAAGAUGGACUUGUAGGUUCCUUCUGUUUUUUAUAUUUUAUGGUUCUAUAUGAAAAGGUUUUUCUCUGAAUGAAUUCUUUUAUUGAUACUUAAAAAACCUUGGCUGAUGUAUUUUUUCUUCUGAGACCUCUUAUUGCGUAGCUUUAUCUUGCCUCAUUUUUUUUCACACGCAAAAGGGGUAGUUGAAGGUGAACUGUGGAGUUGAUCAUUCUAGGUUUGGAUUUCAGUACCACCACUUGGCUUUUGGCCAGUUAUUUAACCUCUCUGAGGCUCAGUGUUCUCAUCUGUCUAAUGAGGAUGGACAGAGGGUAGAUGUGAAGAUGAAAGGAGGCAGAAUUCUUAGACUAACCUCAAAGGCUAUAGUUUGAUUGUCCUGUAGGACAUUAACCAGUUUUGUCUAUAACUUGGCAAACUUAUUUCAGAAUGUCUUUUCUCAUGGACUCUGAAUGCCUGAUUACUAUCUUCCUGAUUUCUUCAUUAAUUAGUGAGUCUAAUAGAAUCUUUCACAUGUGCUUCAUUCUAUUUUUUAUAUAAGAAUCCUGUUUUUAACUUUUUGAAAAUUAUUCUUUGACUGCCUUCAGACACUCUCCUCGAUAGACUGACAUAGGCGAAACUCACUAGAAAUGCUGAUUAAGUUACUGAAAAAAAGAAAAACCACUU